rnacentral:siRNA from 1 species
UUUCUUUGGGUGGAGCUGGUU